rnacentral:lncRNA from 1 species
UUCGCUCACACACCGACUCACUAUAUUAGGGUUGGAACUUGCGAAACAACCUGGGCCAGCCGCCGCCACCCGCACCUACUCCACGAUGAGCUCCCAACCGGCGGCCAUGGCGGAGGCCGCAACAGCAGCAGCGACGCCUCUCAUCCCCGGCCUCCCAGACGAUGUCGUCAUCUUGGAGAUCCUCGUCCGCCUCGACCCCAAAUCCCUCCUCCGCUGCCGCGCCAUCCGCC